UACGUAGGGUGCAAGCGUUAAUCGGAAUUACUGGGCGUAAAGCGUGCGCAGGCGGUCGUGCAAGACAGAUGUGAAAUCCCCGGGCUCAACCUGGGAACUGCAUUUGUGACUGCACGGCUGGAGUACGGCAGAGGGGGAUGGAAUUCCGCGUGUAGCAGUGAAAUGCGUAGAUGUGCGGAGGAACACCGAUGGCGAAGGCAAUCCCCUGGGCCCGUACUGAUGCUCAUGCACGAAAGCGUAGGGAGCAACCAGG
rnacentral:rRNA from 1 species